UUUUUUUUUAUGCAUUUUAUAUUUGCCUAAUAAAUAAUUUUAACUGCUCCUUGGAGUCCCGUGGUGUUCGGGAAAGCCAUCAAGGAAAAAGUUAAAGCUAACAUACUUACUAAGACUUCUAUAUCUAGUCGAGUAUACCGGUUGACUUACCGAUCAAGAUAUUGUUCCCCCUAUGCCUUCAUGUACAUGCUGCACUAUGAAUUGUUUUUGUAUAUUUUUGUAGAGUAAACUCCAACAUUAUGAACAAUUGUUUAUUUUUUUUUGUUUUAUACACCUGAUUUGAUAAUAGCUUCAAAUGUUAACAUAUAAUCAAUUUUUUUUCUAUUUCAGAAUGUUGUAUGAGAAGCCCCAAGCUCUCACUCCUCCGUGAGUUUUAUGUAUUCAAAUUGUACUUUGAUUUUCUAUAUUUUUUCUAACAGUAGUGAUAGUAAGAAUCCUAGAUACUGUGACAUUUAUUAACUAAACUAUUAAUUAUAUGCCAAUCCAAAUUAGGAAAAAAAUAGUGAGUCAUAUUUCUUGAUCAACAGGUAUAGCUUAAGAUAUGAAAUCCACUGAUCACUUCUCAAUUUAUUGGAAAUUCAAAAUAGUUCAAAAUAUUUUUCAAAUUAAAGGCCAAAGUAGCUAAAACUUGAAGUAUAGCGGACUCGGAGAAUGUUUCCAGUUUACUAUGUUGCCUUAAUUGUGAAAUUAAUUUUGAAUUCCUGACAAUUCUCAGCAAAUAACUCUGUUAGUGAAUAAACCUGGCUAUGUAUUAUGUGACUCCAGAUACAAUAUAACCGAUUCCUUCCACAUUUCCAGACAUUAUUACUAAAUAAGAAAACAGGCAACUGAAGG